rnacentral:rRNA from 1 species
AUUGCGGUCCUUGGAUUUCCAAUCCCGGACCACGCCUGGCUGAGGGUCGGCCUACUGAAACCACUGGGCCCGCCGCGUGUGAKGCGCGGCGGGCCCGAAGUUGAGGGCACGCGCGCGCGCAUGUCGCMGCACGACGCUCUUUAARAACGAGACCGCGCCGCCGCGGACAGACGCGCCCUCCGGCGCCCGGCUUGAUACAGGGAGAAAUCCCGCACACUUGAACGACAGCCGGGAGCAAAAAGUGCAGAUCUCUGCAGACGAGGGCAAGGGCGACUGCUCCGCGCGCGGUGGCGUCAGAACACAAAACUUUCCGACCUCAGAUCAGGCGAGACUACCC